rnacentral:lncRNA from 1 species
AGCUAAGUGCCUUGGCUCCUCAGUAAGUAUAAAUGGAAGGGAGGAAAAGUCUCUGAAGCUUCUAGUGUUUAAGUGGGUGCCUAAGUGUCCCUAGCAGCACACAGGAGAGGGGAACUCAAAUGUUUCUAUCUGAGGUGGGAGUCCUUGGCUGGAAUGGCCAUCUGUACAGAAUGGACAUUCACUGACCAUGGUUUGUAAGCUGAGAAGAGGAGUUGG